UAAUACAUCGGAACGUGUCUUCUAGUGGGGGAUAACUGCCCGAAAGGGCGGCUAAUACCGCAUGAGACCUGAGGGUGAAAGCGGGGGAGUCGCAAGACCUCGCGCUGGAAGAGCGGCCGAUGUCCGAUUAGCUAGUUGGUGAGGUAAAGGCUCACCAAGGCGACGAUCGGUAGCUGGUCUGAGAGGACGACCAGCCACACUGGGACUGAGACACGGCCCAG
rnacentral:rRNA from 1 species